GGGCCCGUAGUCUAGGCUGGAUUAGGACACUGGCCUGCGGAGCCGGAGAUCGAGGGUUCAAAUCCCUCCGGGCCCGCCA
rnacentral:tRNA from 1 species